GAAUUAUGUGAGAUAUCAGUGAAGGAGAGGGGGUUCUUUGCCAUUGCCUUAUCUGGUGGUUCUCUCAUGAGCUUGAUGGGGGAACUAUGUGAAGUCCUUAUAAU